UACGAAGGGGGCGAGCGUUGUUCGGAUUUACUGGGCGUAAAGGGCGCGUAGGCGGCGGCCCAAGUCGAGUGUGAAAGCCCCGGGCUCAACCUGGGAGGUGCGCUCGAGACUGGGUUGCUGGAGUUCGGGAGAGGAGCGUGGAAUUCUCGGUGUAGAGGUGAAAUUCGAAGAUAUCGAGAGGAACACCGGUGGCGAAGGCGGCCAACUGGACGAAUACUGACGCUGAGACUCGAAAGCGUGGGGAGCAAACAGG
rnacentral:rRNA from 1 species